UACGAAGGGCGCGAGCGUUGUCCGGAUUUAUUGGGCGUAAAGAGCUCGUAGGCGGCUUGUUGCGUCGGCUGUGAAAACCCAUGGCUCAACCGUGGGCUUGCAGCCGAUACGGGCAGGCUAGAGUUCGGUAGGGGAGACUGGAAUUCCUGGUGUAGCGGUGAAAUGCGCAGAUAUCAGGAGGAACACCGGUGGCGAAGGCGGGUCUCUGGGCCGAUACUGACGCUGAGGAGCGAAAGCGUGGGGAGCGAACAGG
rnacentral:rRNA from 1 species